rnacentral:lncRNA from 1 species
AUAAAUUAUGGAAUAGUUAUAAAAAAUAAAGUAAAUUGGUUAUCAGAAGAUGUGCUAGCUUUGUUAUUAAACAGAAAAUGGGCUAGCUAUGUUAUUUAUUACUCUGGGCCUGGCAAAUUAACUUUGUUUGGCCCAGUUCCGUGUUCAUGAAGGAAACAUAAGGUCCACUAUUUUACAAAUGUGUGUCUAACUAUAUCUAUAAGCUACUAUUUAUACUAAAACCUUAUAGAGAAAGACCUCCAAAUUCCAAACCAAUUAAUCACGAAAUGCAGCAAAAGGUUUAAUUGACAAAUUUAUUAUGGAAAAAAGAAAUAAAAUAGAAUAAAGUUUGGAGAUAUAUAGAUAACACCAAGACAACAAACCAAACAUGAACUUCUGGCCCGUCAACAUUGAAAGCAUUUUGAUUAGAGUCUUCGUUCAUGAUUAGUAAAUUAAUGACAACAAAAUAUCAAAAUUAACAUGUCCAACAUGGUUUCCUUUAUCUCACAUUAACACGAUUAAACAAGUAACUCAAUGAAACACCGUUAAGGCUCGUCGAAGUACGAAAUUUAUUUAAAAGUAGAAGAGAAUGGACCUUUACAAUUGCUUGACUGUUUCCUUCAAAAUUCGAACAACAAUGAACCUCUGACCGGAGCCAGAACUGCUAAACGGAGACCUCACCGGUGAGAUCGAACUGUGACUUUGAACCCGACCAAAGCUAUAGAUGGAGACGUUUGAUUGGGAAGUAUCAGCUACAACAAAUGGGUUUCGGGUUGGUGUUUCAAUGGGUUUUAGGGCUGUUUUAUUGCGUUUUUGAGCUGGAGUUUCCAGUUGGUUUUUAUGGAGUUUCGAGAAAGGAAAGUGAAGUUUUGUGUGGAUGUACAGAUGGAGAAGAGCUGGCUUUAAUGGAAUUUUAUGGCUGUGCUUUUCAUGGUGUUCCCACAGUGAAGGUGAAAGCAAGUAAAGAAGAAAGGAAAGAGAGAUCUACUGUUGCUGCACGCGAGAAGAAGAAGAAGAAGGCACUACUUGGAUUUUAGUCCUCAAAUCGUUCUCUUUUCCCGGAUCUAUUUUCUCUUUUUUUCAUUUCCCCCUGUUUUUGUUUCCUCCCUCUAUCUCUAUUUCCCAGGUGCUCUCUCUGUUUUUUACGUCCUCCAAAUCUAUCCUUUCUCAACCUUUGUGCCCCUCCCCCCAAAGUUUGGAGAUAUAGAGAUAACACUAAGAUAGCAAACCAAACGCGAACCUCUGGCCCGUCAAUAUUGAAAGCAUUUUGAUUAGAGUCUUCGUUCAUGAUUAGCAAAUUAAUGACAACAAAAUAUCAAAAUUAACAUGUCCAACAUGGUUUCCUUCAUUUCACAUUAACACGAUUAAACAAGUAACUCAAUGAAACACCGUUAAGGCUCGUCGAAGUACAAAAUUUAUUUAAAAGUAGAAGAGAAUGGACCUUUACAAUUGCUUGACUGUUUCCUUCAAAAUUCGAACAAGAAUAAAUCUCUGACCGGAGCCGGAACCACUAAACGGAGACCUCAUCGGCGAGAUCGAACUGCGACCUUGAACCCGACCAAAGCUAUGGAUGAAGACAUUGGACUGGAAGUAUCAGCUACAACAAAUGGGUUUCGGGUUGGUGUUUCAAUUGAUUUUGGGGCUAUUUUAUUGCGUUUUUGAGCUGGAGUUUCCAGCAAAUUUUUAUGGAGUUUCGAGGAAGGAAAGUGAAGUUUUUUGUGGAUGUAAAGAUGGAGAAGAGCUGGCUUUAAUAGAGUUUUAUGGCUGUGCUUUUCAUGGUGUUCCCACAGUGAAGGUGGAAGCAAGUAAAGAAGAAGGGAAAGAGAGAUCUACUGUUGCUGCACGCGAGAAGAAGAAGAAGAAGGCACUGCUUGGAUUUUAGUCCUCAAAUCGUUCUCUUUUCCCGGAUCUAUUUACUUUUUUUUUUCAUUUCCCCCAUAUUUUUGUUUCCUCCCUCUAUCUCUAUUUUCCAGGUGCUCUCCUUGUUUUUUACGUCCUCCAGAUCUAUCCUUUCUCAACCUUUGUGCCCCCCUCCCUCCCAAAGUUUGGAGAUAUAGAGAUAACACCAAGACAACAAACCAAACGUGAACCUCUGGCCCGUCAACAUUGAAAGUAUUUUGAUUAGAGUCUUCGUUCAUGAUUUGCAAAUUAAUGGCAACAAAAUAUCAAAAUUAACAUGUCCAACAUGGUUUUUUUUAUCUCACAUUAAUACGAUUAAACAAGUAACUCAAUGAAACACCGUUAAGGCUCGUCGAAGUACGAAAUUUAUUUAAAAGUAGAAGAGAAUAGACCUUUAAAAUUGCUUGACUGUUUCCUUCAAAAUUCGAACAAGAAUGAACCUCUGACCGGAGCCGGAACCGCUAAACGGAGACCUCACCGGCGAGAUCGAACUGUGACUUUGAACCCGACCAAAGCUAUGGAUGGAGACGUUUGAUUGGGAAGUAUCAGCUACAACAAAUGGGUUUUAGGUUGGUGUUUCAAUGAAUUUUAGGGCUGUUUUAUUGCGUUUUUUAGCUGGAGUUUCCAGCUGAUUUUUAUGGAGUUUCGAAGAAGGAAAGUGAAGUUUUGUGUGGAUGUAAAGAUGGAGAAGAACUGGCUUUAAUGGAAUUUAUUGGCUGUGCUUUUCAUGGUGUUCCCAAAGUGAAGGUGAAAGCAAGUAAAGAAGAAAGAAAAGAGAGAUCUACUGUUGCUGCACGCGAGAAGAAGAAGAAGAAGGCACUACUUGGAUUUUAGUCCUCAAAUCGUUCUCUUUUCCCGGAUUUAUUUCCUCUUUUUUCCAUUUCCCCCUUGUUUUUGUUUUCUCCCUCUAUCUCUAUUUCCCAGGUGCUCUCUCUGUUAUUUACGUCGUCCAGAUCUAUCCUUUUUCAACCUUUGUGCCUCCCUCCCCCUUAGUGAAGGUCUGCUAGGUCUAAAAUAAUAGAGAGUGGGCGUGGAUUUUUUGACAAGGUAAAAGAGGGGGUCUG